ensembl:miRNA MIR155 microRNA 155
CUGUUAAUGCUAAUCGUGAUAGGGGUUUUACCUCCGACUGACUCCUACAUGUUAGCAUUAACAG